GGUUGAGGCUCAGUGGUAGAGCACAAGUCUAGCAUGCAUGAGGCACUGUGUUCAAUCCUCAGCACCA
rnacentral:tRNA from 1 species